rnacentral:rRNA from 1 species
UGCCAGCCGCCGCGGUAAUACAGAGGGUGCAAGCGUUAAUCGGAAUUACUGGGCGUAAAGGGCGCGUAGGUGGAUAAGUAAGUUGGAUGUGAAAGCUCCGGGCUCAACCCGGAAAGGCCAUUCAAAACUGCUUAUCUAGAGUGCAGUAGAGGGAAGUGGAAUUUCCGGUGUAGCGGUGAAAUGCGUAGAUAUCGGAAGGAACACCAGUGGCGAAGGCGACUUCCUGGACUGUUACUGACACUGAGGCGCGAAAGCGUGGGGAGCAAACAGGAUUAGAUA